CUGGACAGACACGUGGAGAAUGAGGACCAGGCCAGGUGAGGUCAGGGGAGUGAGCCCAGACACUCCACUCAAGACCUUCCAUUCCUUCAGCUCUUGAAGACCAGCCAGGCUGUAAGUCCCUGGUCAUCAGCCCACGCAGAGAAACUCAAGCUCUGAGAGUGUCCUGAGACCUGUCCCCUGGGAAGCCACAGGUCUGUUUGGCACUGGCACGGCACCAGCAGGCAGUGUGCUGAGUGGGUUGACUGUGUUACAAUUGGCAUUUUCAACUCUACCAAAUACCUCAUGCUGCGCUGAAAGCGGACAGCUUCUCAGGGACCCAGUCUGAGACACGUCAAGGAAUCCAGAUGGAGUCAGGGCACCGUCCGCUCCCAAAGUCUUUC
rnacentral:lncRNA from 1 species